rnacentral:rRNA from 1 species
GAUGAACGCUGGCGGUAUGCCUAACACAUGCAAGUCGAACGGAGUUCUUCGGAACUUAGUGGCGGACGGGUGAGUAACACGUGAGAACCUACCUUCAGAAUGGGGACAACAGUUGGAAACGACUGCUAAUACCCAAUGUGCCGAAAGGUGAAAGAUUUAUCGUCUGAAGAUGGGCUCGCGUCUGAUUAGCUAGAUGGUGGGGUAAGAGCCUACCAUGGCAACGAUCAGUAGCUGGUCUGAGAGGAUGAGCAGCCACACUGGGACUGAGACACGGCCCAGACUCCUACGGGAGGCAGCAGUGGGGAAUUUUCCGCAAUGGGCGAAAGCCUGACGGAGCAAUACCGCGUGAGGGAGGAAGGUCCUUGGAUUGUAAACCUCUUUUAUCAGGGAAGAAGUUCUGACGGUACCUGAUGAAUAAGCAUCGGCUAACUCCGUGCCAGCAGCCGCGGUAAUACGGAAGAUGCAAGCGUUAUCCGGAAUUAUUGGGCGUAAAGCGUCCGUAGGUGGUUAUGCAAGUCUGCCGUUAAAGAAUGGAGCUUAACUCCAUAGGAGCGGUGGAAACUGCAAGACUAGAGUACAGUAGGGGUAGCAGGAAUUCCCAGUGUAGCGGUGAAAUGCGUAGAUAUUGGGAAGAACAUCGGUGGCGAAAGCGUGCUACUGGGCUGAAACUGACACUGAGGGACGAAAGCUAGGGUAGCGAAAGGGAUUAGAUACCCCUGUAGUCCUAGCCCGUAACGAUGGAUACUAGGCGUGGCUUGUAUCGACCCGAGCCGUGCCGAGGCUAACGCGUUAAGUAUCCCGCCUGGGG